rnacentral:rRNA from 1 species
UACGUAGGUGGCUAGCGUUGUCCGGAUUUACUGGGCGUAAAGUGAGCGUAGGCGGACUUUUAAGUGAGAUGUGAAAUACCCGGGCUCAACUUGGGUGCUGCAUUUCAAACUGGAAGUCUAGAGUGCAGGAGAGGAGAAUGGAAUUCCUAGUGUAGCGGUGAAAUGCGUAGAGAUUAGGAAGAACACCAGUGGCGAAGGCGAUUCUCUGGACUGUAACUGACGCUGAGGCUCGAAAGCGUGGAGAGCAAACAGGAUUAGAUA